ensembl:lncRNA
ACAGAUUAACUAGAGGAUGCCUAAAGGAGGCCUAGGGCAGAAUCAGACAUAAUGAAUAGCAUCUAUUUUAUCAUCAUUAUUAUUGCUGUUGUUAUUCAGCUUGGAACAUCCAAGCUGGAUAUAGCUUGACUCUAGAAGCAUAAUUUUCAACCUUGGCUUUUCUCUGGAAUUUCCUAAGGAAUGCUAAAAUCUUGAGCCUGGGCCCCACCCCUGAGAUUCUGACACAAUCAUCCAGGGGAGGGGGCCAGGUCUUGAUUAGUUUAAAAGCUCCCAGCUGGGGGGUCUGAUGUGCCGCCAAGGCUGAGGACCAGAGCAGUAGUUCUCAAAGUGUCGUCCCAGCAGCAGGAGCAUCAGCAGCAUUGAGAGCUCGUUAGAAAUGCAGAUGCUCGGCCCUCCUGAGUCAUAUCUCAGGGUGUGGAGCCCAGUGACCUGUGUUUUAAGGAGCCUGCCUGUGGAUUUGAAUACCCUAUUGGGUUUGAGAUUUGCUGUGGUAGGGAAUAUGCCCUCAUUCACGUCAUUUUCCUUGGUGUUUAAGAGCACUAAAAGGGAUGUAUGUGUAUGCGUGCUCAGUCGUGUCUGACUCUUUGCAAUCCCAUGGACUGUAGCCCACCAGGCUCUUCUGUCCAUGGAGCUUUCCAGGUGCCUCCUGCAAGACCUUCCCAAGUCAGCCCACAAGUUGCCACUGUGACCCUUAAGCUGGGGGAGAUGCGUCCUUCCUGCUGCACCAGCAGCACGUGCUUACCAUUCUCAGUGUGUUCACAUACCUGCCAUUCUCCAUGGCUGGAGGGUGAGCAACCCAAGUGCAGGGCACAUUUACUCACCUAUAUCUUUCUAUAAGCACUUGGCACUGUAUAGGUGCUUGUACUGUGUUGAAUAGUGUCCCCUCAAAUUCAUGUCCACCUGGGACCUCAGAAUGUGACUUUACUUGAAAAUAAAGUCUUUGCAGAUAUAAAUUAGUUGAGGUCAUGCUGCAUUAGAGUGGGUUCCUAAUUCUUAUAACUAGUGACCUUAUAAGAAUAAGGAAGGACACAUGGAGAAACAGACACACAGAGAAGAUGGCAGAGGUAGAGGCUAGAGUUGGGCAGCUAUGAGUCCAGGAACACCAAGGACUGCUGGCAUCUACCAGCUGCUAGGAGAGAGGCAAGCAAGGACCCUUCCCUCCAACUUCCACAGGGACCGUGGCCCCUGCCGAUAUCUUGGUUUUGGACUUCUGGCCUCCCGGACUGUGAGGGAAUAAAGCGCUGUUGUUUUUAAU